GAGAGGGAAAUCAGGAGCAUGGGAGGUCUAACAACCCAAUUCGUGUAGAAAGAUCUCCCAGACAAGGACAUAAUUCACAGUAUCAAACAGCAGUUGUGCCAAGUAAGCUAAGCUCCAAAAAGGGCCCAUUGGAUUUGACAAAUUGAACGUCAUUUUGGGUUUGGGCAAGAGUAGUUUCAGAGGAAUAGUGAAAGCACAAGCCAGAUUACAGUGGACCGAGAAGUAAACAAGACAUAAGAAAAUGACAUAGUGGGACAAUAAGAUUAGAUUGUCUUAGGGAUUCUGUGUGUGGGACAGACCCACAAGAAGAUGAAGCCUGAAUAGCCUUUGAGGAAGGAUUAGAUAUCUUCUAGGUGGACUGAAGAGAAGGCUUUACAGUGGAGAACACAAACAAAGCACAGAGGCGUUACACAGCUUGGUUUGCUGCAACAACCCAAGAAGUUUAGCGUUGUCAAGGCAUUAAUGUGAAGGGAAUGGGCAUCACUCUAUCCACAUACCCUGGUAGCAUUUCCAGUGGGAAUUUCAGAGACCGAACCUUAUCCAGAAAUCAGAAGUCUCUGACUUCACUUUAAUCUGGCCUGCUUCUCAUCAGAAGUAACUACUGACAAUUCUUUAGUCAGCCUAUUCCUGGUCCUCUGGAAAUUGCCUCCUUGCCCAAUCUGGAAAUUGCUCUAUGUCUACUCAACAGUUGCUGAAGUUGAGUAGUUCAGCAGUGAAGUUCUAUAACUUCACUUACUCUGAAUUCUCUUAGGUCUGGUCUUUCUUGUUCUUCCUUUGCCUCCUUGUCUUGGUGGAGUACAUCGUCUAAUACAGUGCCAUGCAGACUAGAGAGUCUGCAAGCCAUUUCUGGUGCACAGACUAUCAUCGUUCUGUGAUGAGAGGGAUCCAGAAAUCAAUAGGAAGCAUUCGAAGGCUUUUAUAAUACUUUGAUAGUGCUACUCCAUGCACACAUUUGAUCAAGGGCCAUGUUCACAAUUAGCACAUAGCAAAUUCUAACUUGGAACAAAUCAACCCAGCGAGUAUUUUUUUUAAAACUUUUUAGUACAAGUUGAGUAUUGGUCAUAUAUGGCUAAUGUAGUAAUUAUUUUAAAAUGUGUAAAAAUUAAAGAAAGCUUUUUCAUUGCAGAAAAUAAUUUACCUAGGUUUGCAGUCUAGAGUAUAAACUAUAAAAUAUUACACUUUGUAUCAAUAUGUCUAUCAAUAACAUAACAUCUUUUACUCAAAAAGUCUUAUUUUUUACUCAAAAAGCUAUCAGCUGUAAGGCUAAUGUAUUAUAUUCAGCUUAUUCUAUUAAUUAUGGAACAAUAAGGAAAGUAAUUGCAAACAGCUUUUUUGUAUGCUGAAGUAAAAUGGUUAUCAAGGGGAAAAACUCACUCUAGACUAAAUUGAAAUAGGGAAUCAACUCUGGUGCUCCUGAAAAAUAAGAAAUUUGUUGGGUCCCCCAAAUUUAAAGACAAAAAUUGAACACAAAUUUUACAAAUUUGCUUAUGUGUUUAAUAUCACUGAUAUUUCUAAUUAUCUGACUACUAUGUGAAGAAGGAAUGCAACAUACUUUUCAGUGGUAAAUCAAAUUGAAAGGCAAUGGAAAAAUUUACAAGUUAGAGAAUUUUUGCAGGCUGUUAUGAUAUAUACUUCAUAAUUUAACACAAUUUUCCAUAAAGUAGAAGGUAAUCUUGAUAUUAUACGUCUGAAAAAGUUAAAACUGAACACCUCACAAAUUUGAUAGAACAUUUUAAUCUCUAUUUUAUAUCACAAAAAAGGCAACAGGACAUUCAUGAGCUAGAACCUUGUUAUUUCAUUGGAAACAAAACGUUUAUAUUUUAAGGCAUAGAUUGUUGCAACUUUCUAUUGGUGAAAGAUUGAAAAUGAUUGUUGAAAUUGUAGCAUCAUUUGCUUCAUUUUAAAUAAAAGGUAAAACUGAAUAUCCUGAGCAUGCUGA
rnacentral:lncRNA from 10 species